rnacentral:lncRNA from 1 species
CUUUUCUGUGCCCAACUCCCUUCACUGCUCCGAGAGACAAUUCACGAGAAUUCUCCAGUAUUCCUACUUCAUGUUUUUGAAGUUAAUUUAGCACAUUGGUCUUCCGGUAGACACUUGUCUGAGUCGUCAUCUCCUGCAUCCUCAACGCCCCACUGGGCUUGUCACAGGCACCACUGAAUGGACAUAGUUCCCGUGGCUCCCUGUGAUCCUCAGAGGUUACAGGCCAUCACUGAGAAGAUGUCAACAUAGGGAUUCAAGCGGCUGGUCACGUCACAUCCACAGUCAAGAGCAGAGGGCGCCAAUGGGGCCAUCUUGCCUGCUGCAGCUUUCGCUCAGCUAGCUUUCUCCAUUCUUAAGACACUGGAGUUUUACUUACAGCAGCACCAAGCAUCCGGAGACAGCAUCAUGGCAGACACAGUUAAGGUUCCAUCAGCCAAUGGAUCCCACCAUCAAACCCACCAUGCUCUCUGGAGACGCCUGGAGGAAAGACCUAGGACUUCAGCUUCAACAAUUCCAGACAAGGUAUCAAGUACUCAGUAACCCAUGGCAACCCCUAGA